UACAGAGGGUGCGAGCGUUAAUCGGAAUUACUGGGCGUAAAGCGCGCGUAGGCGGCUUUGCAAGGCGGGUGUGAAAUCCCCAGGCUUAACCUGGGAACUGCAUUCGAGACUGCAUUGCUAGAGUAUGGGAGAGGGAAGUGGAAUUUCCGGUGUAGCGGUGAAAUGCGUAGAUAUCGGAAGGAACAUCAGUGGCGAAAGCGACUUCCUGGACCAAUACUGACGCUCAUGUGCGAAAGCGUGGGGAGCAAACAGG
rnacentral:rRNA from 1 species